GGAUAAUAUCUAGGAGGAGGAUAAUAUCUAGGAGGAGGAUCAUUUCUAGGAGGAGGAUAAUAUCUAGGUGAGGAGGAUAAUAUCUAGGAGGAGGAUAAUAUCUAGGAGGAGGAUAAUAUCUCGGAGGAGAGGAGGAUAAUAUCUCGGAGAAGAGGAGGAUACUAUCUAGGAGGAGGAUAAUAUCUAGGAGGAGAGAAGGAUAAUAUCUAGGAGGAGAGGAGGAUAAUAUCUAGGAGGAGAGGAGGAUAAUAUUUAGGAGGAGAGGAGGAUAAUAUCUAGGAGGAGAGGAGGAUAAUAUCUAGGAGAAGAGGAGGAUAAUAUCUAGGAGGAGGAUAAUAUCUAGGAGGAGAGGAGGAUAAUAUCUAGGAGGAUGAUACUAUGUAGGAGGAGAGGAGGAUAAUAUCUAGGAGGAGGAUCAUAUCUAGGAGGAGAGGAGGAUAAUAUCUAGGAGGAGUGGAGGAUAAUAUCUAGGAGGAGGAUCAUAUCUAGGAGGAGGAUCAUAUCUAGGAGGAG
rnacentral:lncRNA from 1 species